rnacentral:rRNA from 1 species
GAUGAACGCUGGCGGCGUGCUUAACACAUGCAAGUCGAACGGAAAGGCCCUGCUUUUGUGGGUUGCUCGAUUGGCGAACGGGGGAGUAACACGUGAGUAACCUGCCCUUGACUUUGGGAUAACUUCAGGGAACUGCGGCUAAUACCGGGUAUGAUCUCCUGCUGCAUGUGGGGGGUUGGAAAGUGUCGGCGGUUGGGGAUGGACUCGCGGCUUAUCAGCUUGUUGGUGGGGUAGUGGCUUACCAAGGCUUUGACGGGUAGCCGGCCUGAGAGGGUGACCGGCCACAUUGGGACUGAGAUACGGCCCAGACUCCUACGGGAGGCAGCAGUGGGGAAUAUUGCACAAUGGGCGGAAGCCUGAUGCAGCAACGCCGCGUGCGGGAUGCCGGCCUUCGGGUUGUAAACCGCUUUCGACUGUGACGAAGCGUGAGUGACGGUAAUGGGUAAAGAAGCACCGGCUAACUACGUG